rnacentral:rRNA from 1 species
UUCCCCUAGUAACUGCGAGUGAAGCGGGAAAAGCUCAAAUUUAAAAUCUGGCAGUCUUUGGCUGUCCGAGUUGUAAUCUAGAGAAGUAUUAUCCGCGCUGGACCGUGUACAAGUCUCCUGGAAUGGAGCGUCAUAGAGGGUGAGAAUCCCGUCUUUGACACGGACUGCCAGGGCUUUGUGAUGUGCUCUCGAAGAGUCGAGUUGUUUGGGAAUGCAGCUCAAAAUGGGUGGUAAAUUCCAUCUAAAGCUAAAUAUUGGCGAGAGACCGAUAGCGAACAAGUACCGUGAGGGAAAGAUGAAAAGAACUUUGGAAAGAGAGUUAAACAGUACGUGAAAUUGCUGAAAGGGAAACGCUUGAAGUCAGUCGCGUUGGCCAGGGAUCAACCUUGCUUUUUUGCUUGGCUUACUUUCUGGUUGAUGGGUCAGCAUCAAUUUUGACUGGUAGAAAAAGUUCAAGGGAAUGUGGCAUCUUCGGAUGUGUUAUAGCCUUUGUUCACAUAUAUCAGUUGGGAUUGAGGAACUCAGCACGCCGCAAGGCCGGGUUUUUAACCACGUACGUGCUUAGGAUGCUGGCAUAAUGGCUUUAAUCGACCCGUCUUGAAACACGGACCAAGGAGUCUAACAUGCCUGCGAGUGUUUGGGUGAAAAACCCGAGCGCAUAAUGAAAGUGAAAGUUGAGAUCCCUGUCGUGGGGAGCAUUGACGCCCGGAUCUGACCUUUUGUGACGAUUCUGCGGUAGAGCAUGUAUGUUGGGACCCGAAAGAUGGUGAACUAUGCCUGAAUAGGGUGAAGCCAGAGGAAACUCUGGUGGAGGCUCGUAGCGAUUCUGACGUGCAAAUCGAUCGUCAAAUUUGGGUAUAGGGGCGAAAGACU